rfam:Gillisia limnaea DSM 15749 genomic scaffold Gilliscaffold_2, whole genome shotgun sequence.
ACUACGAGUUGGUUAAGCACAGAAGUCAGCAGAAGUCAUAGUACUACUUAGAAACGGACAAGCGGUGGGAUUGCUUAUACCAUACCCCAUCAGGAACAACAGUAGGAAGGAC